rnacentral:rRNA from 1 species
CACGUAGGGUGCGAGCGUUGUCCGGAUUCAUUGGGCGUAAAGGGCUAGUAGGCGGCUUAGAAAGUCGGGUGUGAAAACUUCAGGCUCAACCUGGAGCGGCCAUCCGAUACUUCUAUGGCUAGAGUCCGGUAGGGGACCACGGAAUUCCUGGUGUAGCGGUGAAAUGCGCAGAUAUCAGGAGGAACACCGGUGGCGAAGGCGGUGGUCUGGGCCGGAACUGACGCUGAAUAGCGAAAGCGUGGGUAGCGAACAGG